AGGCCUUCAUUUUGUUUUUUUUUUGUUUUUUAUUUGCCUUUUGGUUUUACCUUCUUCUGAAAAGCUCCGAUACGUCGUACUCCGUUCACUGCUGUAGGAAAAAAGAAAAAAUCUCUCCUUCACCUCCGUCGGGCCCGGGCAAAACCCAUUACUGGACUCUCACUUCACUUGGUUGAAGAACGGAUAGAGCAAAUUUCCAUAUGUUGAGAACGACUGCUUUACGGAAUGUUGUCAAGAAUUGUAGAUGGAUGUAUUUUUCAGAAGGAAGAUGGGUGGGCACUAUGACUCCGAAGAAACAAGCUAAUGAUGAUGCUGGGGAAGGACACAUGGUAGAGACUAAGGCUAAUCCUGAUCCAACUGUUGCUUUCGGCAGACCACCUCCGCUUCCACCUGUUCUUGGACCAUUAGUUGCUUUCUCACUGUUGGAGCCAUGGUUACAACGGGAUGGCGAUGAUGAUUGAAAGUUGAACUAAGGCCUUCCCUUGAGUAAGCUAAUGAAUUGUGAAUAGUUGCUUCAAAUGCAAGUUUUGGUUGUCCUCUUUUUGUAGAUAAGCCCACUCUGAAAUGUGGAUGUACAUGUUUUCUUGAAUGUGAAGUUGAAAAGUUACUGCUCGCAAAUAAAACUGUUAUGGCAUUUACGAGCUAAUAAUCUUUGCAAUGUA